UUACGCAAGCGGAGAGCGAGCUAUAAGGGAUGGGGGGGGGUUCCCGUUACAUCACCGGAGGGAGUUCUGCGUCCGCCGGUGUCAGGAAGAGGAUGCAGGAACCGUCCUGGGUAGGCGGGUCUGUGGGAAUAGCUCAGCCAAUCACAGCCCGCGGCCGCAAGAGCUGAGCGAAUCGGAGGAGGCGUUGCCAUGUCCCGCCCCCAAAACAUCCGCCAGUUAUUGGUGACAGGGGGCGAGUAAUCAAGAGCUAGCCAAUGAAAAGCUUUAUACGGCUUGAUUGACAGUCUAGCGAGCCAGUUAUGGGCCGGCGACGAGAAGACCAAUAGUAGGUGGGGGGGAAUACUCUCCCUGGCACCUGAUUGCUCAGUAAAUGACAGUCAUCAUUUGACAGACUUACCAGAAUGCAUUGGGAUUUGACGCAUGCGUGGUAGUACAGCAGCGGUGGCUGAUGGGAAGUGUAGUUCCAAGUUACUGUCAUGUCAUCCCACUUAAUUAAGAUAAAUAAGGAGUCCUCAUACGCAGUCUAAGUUUUUCCAUCUGUUUGCUGCACUACAGUCUGUAGAGGAUGCUGGGGACUCCGUAAGGACCAUGGUGUAUAGACGGACUCCGCAGGAGACAUGGGCACUAUAAAGAACUUUAGAAUGGGUGUGCACUGGCUCCUCCCUCUAUGCCCCUCCUCCAGACCUCAGUUAGAGAAACUGUGCCCAGAGGAGACGGACAGUACGAGGAAAGGAUUUUGUUAAUCCAAGGGCAAGAUUCCCAGCCCACACCAUCCACACAGUAUAACCUGGAAUAUACGAACCAGUCAACAGUAUGAAACAAAACAGCAUCAGCCCGAGACUGACCAAAACUGUAACAUAACCCUUAUGCAAGUGAAAGGAUUUGCCCUUAUACCUUAACCCUCGAUGUGAUGGCCUCUUAGACGUCUGGAGUGUAAACUUUAACCACAAGUUCUUGAGAUAUUGGACAUAAUCGUCGGGUCCCUUACUAUCAGAGGAGGUGACAGGACUGGUGGUUAUAUCAUAAUACAUCAGGGCCUUAUCAAUGCCUUUGGAGGUAAGUUUCUUUCCACAGGGAAUUACACAAUAAACUAUAAUGCCUACAAGAAUUAAAGUUACAAGUAUGAAUAUGCUUAUUUGCACAAUACCCUGGUGGGAAGGUUUUUAAAUUUCUCCCUGUGGUGGUGUUAGAUGUAUAACAGGUAUAGUUUCCCAGAUAUAUGGUUAUGGUGCUUCCUGGGUUGGGAUUUUUUUACAAUAUGGGAUAUUCCCUUUUCCACAUUUCGCACUGACUGUCAUUUGUUUUGGUGUCAUUAAAAAGGCUGAAAAAAAAAAUUUUUCCUGUUCUAGGGGUAUAUUAAGGGGCACUGUACCUAGGUGGGGCCUAGAUUUGCCACAGACAUAACAGUUGCUUUUAUUGUGUUUGUUAGCAUUAUACUUCAUCCAUUCCAACCAAAAAUUAAUGUCAGGGAAACCAGUUUCAAUAGCUAGGGUGUCUUCAAAGGUAGGGUUAGUAAUAGCCACCAUAUCUUUAGAAGUGGCAAUAUGGGGCUUUAAAGGUUUGUUUUGGGUUUUUAUACAUGUCCCACAAAUAAAACAUUUGCCUUGCACUAUAGUACCCUGCUUGCCACCAUAUACCAAGUACAUAAGUCUCAUUGUCGCUUCUGCUAGGGUUCACUAUGUUUAGUCUAAACCUGUAUGAAUUUGGGCCUUCAUCCAUCUUAUGAAUGGAUAGUCUAGAAAGUAGGGGUACUCCAUAUUUGCUCCAUCUAUUUUUUUUGCAAAUGAUGGGCCAUAUUUCCAAUCUACUCCUGUAUUCCACCCCACAUAUUCCCAGGAAUUACAAUUAGAUCCAUAAUAUCUAAUGUCAUAGUACCAUUCGUCAGUAACACAAAUAUAUACUGUCUCAGACAUUCCUGAUUUCCUCCUUUGUUGUAUAUAAUAUUUGUCAUCAGCAAUUUUGGGGAACAUAAAAUAAUCAAGGAUGUAUGUGGCUACGUGUGUAUUGGAGGAAUUGUACCACAAGGUGGGGACCCCAUCUGUUUGUGUGAUGUCGACUUCACAUAUUGUGAGGUGAAU